rnacentral:rRNA from 1 species
AUUGAACGCUGGCGGCAUGCUUUACACAUGCAAGUCGAACGGCAGCGCGGGCUUCGGCCUGGCGGCGAGUGGCGAACGGGUGAGUAAUACAUCGGAACGUGCCCAGUAGUGGGGGAUAGCUCGGCGAAAGCCGGAUUAAUACCGCAUACGACCUGAGGGUGAAAGCGGGGGAUCUUCGGACCUCGCGCUAUUGGAGCGGCCGAUGGCAGAAUAGCUAGUUGGUGGGGUAAAGGCCUACCAAGGCGACGAUCUGUAGCUGGUCUGAGAGGACGACCAGCCACACUGGGACUGAGACACGGCCCAGACUCCUACGGGAGGCAGCAGUGGGGAAUUUUGGACAAUGGGCGAAAGCCUGAUCCAGCAAUGCCGCGUGUGUGAUGAAGGCCUUCGGGUUGUAAAGCACUUUUGGCGGGAACGAAAAGGACUGUGCCAAUACCACGGUUCGAUGACGGUACCCGCAGAAUAAGCACCGGCUAACUACGU